rnacentral:rRNA from 1 species
UACGUAGGAGGCAAGCGUUAUCCGGAAUGACUGGGCGUAAAGGGUGCGUAGGUGGUUUGGCAAGUUAGUAGCGUAACCCCGGGGCUCAACCUCGGAACUACUACUAAAACUGUCGGACUUGAGUGCAGGAGGGGCAAUUGGAAUUCCUAGUGUAGCGGUGGAAUGCGUAGAUAUUAGGAGGAACACCAGUGGCGAAGGCGAAUUGCUGGACUGUAACUGACACUGAGGCACGAAAGCGUGGGGAGCAAACAGG